rnacentral:rRNA from 1 species
UACGGGGGGGGCAAGCGUUGUUCGGAAUUACUGGGCGUAAAGGGCUCGUAGGUGGCCAACUAAGUCGGACGUGAAAUCCCUCGGCUUAACCGGGGAACUGCGUCUGAUACUGGAUGGCUUGAAUUCGGGAGAGGGAUGCAGAAUUCCAGGUGUAGCGGUGAAAUGCGUAGAUAUCUGGAGGAAUACCGGUGGCGAAGGCGGCAUCCUGGACCGACAUUGACGCUGAGGAGCGAAAGCUAGGGGAGCAAACGGG